rnacentral:rRNA from 1 species
GAUGAACGCUGGCGGCGUGCCUAAUACAUGCAAGUCGAGCGAACAGACGAGGAGCUUGCUCCUCUGACGUUAGCGGCGGACGGGUGAGUAACACGUGGAUAACCUACCUAUAAGACUGGGAUAACUUCGGGAAACCGGAGCUAAUACCGGAUAACAUGUUGAACCGCAUGGUUCAACAGUGAAAGACGGUCUUGCUGUCACUUAUAGAUGGAUCCGCGCCGCAUUAGCUAGUUGGUAAGGUAACGGCUUACCAAGGCAACGAUGCGUAGCCGACCUGAGAGGGUGAUCGGCCACUGGAACUGAGACACGGUCCAGACUCCUACGGGAGGCAGCAGUAGGGAAUCUUCCGCAAUGGGCGAAAGCCUGACGGAGCAACGCCGCGUGAGUGAAGAAGGUCUUCGGAUCGUAAAACUCUGUUAUUAGGGAAGAACAAAUGUGUAAGUAACUAUGCACGUCUUGACGGUACCUAAUCAGAAAGCCACGGCUAACUACGUG